UUUGAAUGGCACUCUACUCCCCUCUCAAAUGCCAUUGGAACUUCUAUCCACCGUUGAAUAUUUGACCCACCGUUCUAUCCGUUGGCGAAGGAAUUUUAGCGGAGAGUGCAUUUCAUACUACCGCCCUUCUCAAAUGCCUUCCCAUUGGGAUUGCUCUAAGUGGCUCUAUCCUCAAGCUUUCUUCAUCUAAUUUAUCUCUCAUCUACAAAGAUUUCCUCAUCGUCGUUGUAUCUCUUGGCUUCUCAAUUUUUCUGGUGAGUGUUUUAGAACAGAACAUAGCUUUAGAAACUUUAGAAAAUUCAGUAUAUUAUUCUUAUAAGAAGUUGUGGAUCGAAUUGAGACCUUAAUUUUUCUUAACGAUUCAAUACAGUUUGGGUGGUUUGAUUUGGAAAUCGAAACCACUUUGGUAUUUGCUCAUCAAAGUCUUAAUACAAGGUGGUGGACGCUCAAUUUUCUGGUGGAAG
rnacentral:lncRNA from 1 species